rnacentral:lncRNA from 1 species
GCCAAAUCAAUUAAAAACCAUUUUAAAGGGAAGGGAUAAAAUUUAGUUCUACCUAACUGCAGCUCUGCUCUGAUUUAUCUUCCAGCCACUUUCAAGGGAUUUUACUUGGUUCUUAAUCUAACAUUCAUUGGAAAGGGUAAUUCUCAUGAAAUUACAAUGGCAUCUCUUGCAUCGUUUAAUGCAAAUGUUCCCAUUCUUCAGGAAUAGAGAGCGGCUUCUCCAAUAAAGACUCCCUUCAAAGUGCAGAGUGGAAGAGCCCUGGGAGCCGCUGGUGCAGAAUAAAGCAUGGCAUCUCAGAAGCUGCUCGAAUUUAGAACUCUGCCCGCAUCCUUGUGACAAAUUGUAUUCCAAAUAUAGGUUAUUCACAACAUGUUUGUUAUAAGGCGAGGCCUAUGAAUUCCCGCCGUGUCUUUCUUUACAAACAUGUCAAGACUUGUGAACCCCUUAAUGAAAUGCAGCCUUUUAGAGGCAAGAGAAAGCCACAAAGAUUCCAGGAAGAAAAGACUCUCUUUCCUGGGACUGGGACCUUCUUGUGCUAGUGAUAGCAGCCCUAAGCAGAGGUACUGUGUCAUCUCCGAGGUCCCUGAGACCAGCCACUUCAGUUUUCAGAGGGAAAGACUAGCAUCUGAGAAAGAAUGAGAUUUUUCCAAAGUGUCAGAGGCAAAACAAGCAGGGCCGGGGCUCACCUGCCCAGCCCAGGACACCCUGCCACUGUACUGAGUGUCUCACGGAAUUCUAAAACACCGUCGGUCCUGAUUGGGGCACUUUUAUAAAGUCCCAUGGGGUACCAAUCUUCCGUUGUUCAGAUAAAGUGCCAUAAAACUUGGAAGUGAGCUUACCCCAGUAGGAUAUUUCCCGUCAUGCUACGGAAGUUAGCUGUAUUGAUUUCCCUUUGGGCAUCUUUUUUAGCCAAGACCCAAGGGUACUAUCCUUUUCAUUAGUUAAUUCAUAUUUUGCCUUUUGGGUAAAGAGCCACUAUACACUAGUCAGCAGAAGUCCCAAGCUCAGGAUAUAUCUUUUUCCUACCAAGACCAACUGGGGGCUUUCCAAUGUGGCUAGACCCAGCAGUCUACCCAGUUCUAACUUUGUUUUUGUUUGUUUGUUUGGGUGCUGGGGAAUGAAUCCAGGGCCUCAUGCAUGUCAGGCAAGCACUCUACCACCUGAGCUACAUCCUCAGCCCUCCCAGUUCUAGUUUAAGGCAGAGGCCAGCCAAUGUUUCCUAUAAGGGCCAGAUAGUAAGUGACUUAUGUUCUGCGGACCACUUGGUCACCAGUGUAAUUAUACCACGACCUGCCGAAGAAGCCAUAGACAAUACGGAAGCAAAUGAGUGUGACUGUGUCCCAAUAAAACUUUAUUU